GGAGGAAAGCAGGGGAUCGCAAGACCUUGCGCUUUUGGAGCGGCCGAUGUCUGAUUAGCUAGUUGGUGGGGUAAAGGCUUACCAAGGCAACGAUCAGUAGUUGGUCUGAGAGGACGACCAGCCACACUGGGACUGAGACACGGCCCAGACUCCUACGGGAGGCAGCAGUGGGGAGUUUUGGACAAUGGGCGAAAGCCUGAUCCAGCCAUGCCGCGUGGGUGAAGAAGGCCUUCGGGUUGUAAAGCUCUUUCAGUCGAGAAGAAAAAAUUGCGACUAAUAAUCGCAAUUCAUGACGGUAUCGACAGAAGAAGCACCGGCUAACUACGUGCCAGCAGCCGCGGUAAUACGUAGGGUGCAAGCGUUAAUCGGAAUUACUGGGCGUAAAGGGUGCGCAGGCGGCCUUGUAAGUCAGAUGUGAAAUCCCCGGGCUUAACCUGGGAAU
rnacentral:rRNA from 1 species